UUUUUGCAAUUAUAAUAAGCGGAGGAAAAGAAACCAACAGGGAUUGCCUCAGUAGCGGCGAGUGAAGCGGCAAGAGCUCAGAUUUGAAAUCGUGCUUUGCGGCACGAGUUGUAGAUUGCAGGUUGGAGUCUGUGUGGAAGGCGGUGUCCAAGUCCCUUGGAACAGGGCGCCCAGGAGGGUGAGAGCCCCGUGGGAUGCCGGCGGAAGCAGUGAGGCCCUUCUGACGAGUCGAGUUGUUUGGGAAUGCAGCUCCAAGCGGGUGGUAAAUUCCAUCUAAGGCUAAAUACUGGCGAGAGACCGAUAGCGAACAAGUACUGUGAAGGAAAGAUGAAAAGCACUUUGAAAAGAGAGUGAAACAGCACGUGAAAUUGUUGAAAGGGAAGGGUAUUGCGCCCGACAUGGGGAUUGCGCACCGCUGCCUCUCGUGGGCGGCGCUCUGGGCUUUCCCUGGGCCAGCAUCGGUUCUUGCUGCAGGAGAAGGGGUUCUGGAACGUGGCUCUUCGGAGUGUUAUAGCCAGGGCCAGAUGCUGCGUGCGGGGACCGAGGACUGCGGCCGUGUAGGUCACGGAUGCUGGCAGAACGGCGCAACACCGCCCGUCUUGAAACACGGACCACAAACGAAAA
rnacentral:rRNA from 1 species